CAGUCGCCACGGGAAUACGUGUGUCACGAGCGUUAUCCGGAUUUAUUGGGCGUAAAGCGCGUCUAGGUGGUUAUAUAAGUCUGAUGUGAAAAUGCAGGGCUCAACUCUGUAUUGCGUUGGAAACUGUAUAACUAGAGUACUGGAGAGGUAAGCGGAACUACAAGUGUAGAGGUGAAAUUCGUAGAUAUUUGUAGGAAUGCCGAUGGGGAAGCCAGCUUACUGGACAGAUACUGACGCUGAAGCGCGAAAGCGUGGGUAGCAAACAGGAUUAGAUACCCGCGUAGUCCCUGUCUCUUAUACA
rnacentral:rRNA from 1 species